CAUUUGAGCAUAGAGGGUACAAUAAUGGCCCCAAGUAGGGACUAUUUGAAUUAAUGCGCAUGAAUACACGAACAACAGUACCAAUGAGGAAGGAUACUGUCGGUAGUGCUUUGGUCUUUUGAUCACUUUCCCGGGCGAGAACACCGGACUUGGACGUCCUCAUGGAGGGACCGGCUUUAAGGGCUCUUUCCACCGAAGAGCUUUUGGAAAAAGUUAUUCAAUCCGGAAUAGAUGUGUCCGAGGAGGAAGCCAAACGAUUCAGGGAAAAUGAGGUGGAUGGAGAGACAAUUGACUGCGGCUUGACAGAAAAUAUGAUCGCUUUUUUGUUCCAAGGCUCUUUCAAAAAACAACUUAAAUUCAAUCAGUUUGUAAACAGUCUUAAGGAGACAGUUUUUACACUCACACUUGAACCUGUGCCACCAGAGGUGCAGCAGUCACCAUCUGGGAGAUCCAGAUUGCCGACAAAUUUUGAAAUCCCAUCAUUCCCUGUAAAUGUACAGAACAAGCUUAAUAACAAAGAACCAUGUCAUAGGAACUCAAAAGACAGACACGUAAUUGUGAGAGUUUUGUAUGAGGCUAUGGCACAAUUCACAAUGUAUCCCACCAAUGCAGAGUAUGUACAAGUGGUAAAAAGGCUCAUCGGGAAAUAUCCUUUCCUCAAAGACAUUGAAGGAAAUGGUUAUCAAACAUGGCACAUGUCAUUAAAACGGAAGUUUAAAAUGGAGCGUGUGCCUUUGGUCCAAUGUGAUGAGGUUCAACAGUUCAAGAGAAAGUUUGGUCAUCAAAAUUCAAAGAAGUCCUGUGGCUCUGCAUCUGUAGCUACAAAACGACAACAUAUGGAACCAAUCGCCCUUGCCGAAGAUGCAACUUCCAUUGAUGCUCACGUGAAGAUUCUAAAUAGCCAGUACCAAAAGAUGAUUCCUGAUCAUGCAAUAGUUCGAGAUCGCAUGCAGCAAACAUUUGUAUGGCGUCAAAAAGAGAUAGCUGAAGGAAUGUCUGUGGAGGAGACUAUGAAGAAGUACCCCUUUUUAAGUACCACAAAUGGACUCACUGAUGAGUUGGAACGUAUCCACCCAGAAGUGAAAAACUUAUCAAAGAAGUUUAAAGAAGAGUUAAAAUUCAUCAGUGCAAAAGUACUUGAGCAAACAAGAGGGAAGGCUUCAAUCUUUGCUCACUACCAGGAUGCCAAAGAUGAGUCCCUGACUGAAAAUGCACAAGAUAUUGAUCUACGUGCAACUGCCAGAGAAGAUCAAUCAUUUCAUUACUCUUGGAGAGCAAGACCCAAAGCAUCCGUAUCCUAGUAUUCAGCUGCUGGAAGGAGACUGGAAAAAGGCGUUCGCCACCAGAGUCCCAACCGUGGUAAAAGUGGACAGCGUUGAGGUGUGCCGUUGUUCAGGCAUUGAAGAUGGAGUCAUCUCUGCAUUCUGCACAUACUUCAUUUUCAACAUUCAGUAUCCACACUGCCUCAAGAACACUUUGAAUUUCCUUCAAAGAUACAUUGCAAAAAUAUCACUGGAGGGGGACCAACCUUUGCCAAUUACUGUGAGCCGCAAAAUAAAUCUACUUUAUUGAUGCCACAGCCAUACCAUUGUCCAAAAUGCUCCCGCAGAGUAUUCACAAUAACUAAAUUAAUCCAGCACAUUGGACUAAUCCAUGCCCAUGAGCCCAACUUCCAAAUUUCGUGUGGGAUUAAUAACUGUUGUUCCUCUUUCAAAAUAUUUGAAUCUUUUCGACGGCACGUGUAUCGCAAGCAUUUUAAUAGUAAUCCUGUAAAUGACUGUGCUGAGGAAGACUUUGCUGAAAGUGACUCUGAGAGGGACACUGAGAUGUCAUUAGUUGAAGAUUUAAAUGAACGUUUGACAUCCAUUGCUGCACCUUCUAUUGAUGAACUUUUAAAAGAUUUUAAAAAUAAUUUGUUCAAUUUCAUUUUAAAGUGUCGAGAAAAAAAUCUCCUUCCUGUUUCCGUUCAAAAGGAGAUUGUUGAGGAUGUUAACUUCCUAUUUUGUUUUUUCAAGGAGAACUAUGAUGCUUUUAUAACCUAUCAUUUGGAAAAAAAACGGUUUCAAUAUUUCUGAAAUUCCGGAGUUGGCUAAUGUGAUCCAGUCAGAUGAUUUUUUCAAAGGAGCAACAGCGGCAAUCCAGUCCCCGUAUUGCAUUACUGAAC
ensembl:lncRNA